rnacentral:rRNA from 1 species
GACGAACGCUGGCGGCGUGCUUAACACAUGCAAGUCGUACGGUAAGGCCCUUUCGGGGGUACACGAGUGGCGAACGGGUGGGUAACACGUGAGUAACCUGCCCACAACUUUGGGAUAACGCUAGGAAACUGGUGCUAAUACUGGAUAUGUACUCCUGCUGCAUGGUGGGGGUUGGAAGGCUCCUGCGGGUUGGGAUGGACUCGCGGCCUAUCUGCUUGUUGGUGGGGUAGGUGCCUACCAAGGCGGCGACGGGUAGCCGGCCUGAGAGGGUGACCGGCCACAUUGGGACUUGGAUACGGCCCAGACUCCUACGGGAGGCAGCAGUGGGGAAGAUUGCACAAUGGGCGCAAGCCUGGUGCAGCAACGCCGCGUGCGGGAUGACGGCCUUCGGGUUGUAAACCGCUUUCAGCAGGGACGAAGCUUUUUGUGACGGUACCUGCAGAAGAAGCACCGGCUAACUACGUG